UGGGGAAUAUUGCACAAUGGGCGCAAGCCUGAUGCAGCCAUGACGCGUGUAUGAAGAAGGCCUUCGGGUUGUAAAGUACUUUCAGCGGGGAGGAAGGCGAUAAGGUUAAUAACCUUGUCGAUUGACGUUACCCGCAGAAGAAGCACCGGCUAACUCCGUGCCAGCAGCCGCGGUAAUACGGAGGGUGCAAGCGUUAAUCGGAAUUACUGGGCGUAAAGCGCACGCAGGCGGUCUGUCAAGUCGGAUGUGAAAUCCCCGGGCUCAACCUGGGAACUGCAUUCGAAACUGGCAGGCUAGAGUCUUGUAGAGGGGGGUAGAAUUCCAGGUGUAGCGGUGAAAUGCGUAGAGAUCUGGAGGAAUACCGGUGGCGAAGGCGGCCCCCUGGACAAAGACUGACGCUCAGGUGCGAAAGCGUGGGGAGCAAACA
rnacentral:rRNA from 1 species